GCGGGUGUAACUCAAUGGUAGAGUACCUGCCUUCCAAGCAGGUUAUACGGGUUCGAUUCCCGUCACCCGCU
rnacentral:tRNA from 1 species